rnacentral:rRNA from 1 species
CAGAUGGGAGCUUGCUCCCUGAUGUUAGCGGCGGACGGGUGAGUAACACGUGGGUAACCUGCCUGUAAGACUGGGAUAACUCCGGGAAACCGGGGCUAAUACCGGAUGCUUGUUUGAACCGCAUGGUUCAAACAUAAAAGGUGGCUUCGGCUACCACUUACAGAUGGACCCGCGGCGCAUUAGCUAGUUGGUGAGGUAACGGCUCACCAAGGCGACGAUGCGUAGCCGACCUGAGAGGGUGAUCGGCCACACUGGGACUGAGACACGGCCCAGACUCCUACGGGAGGCAGCAGUAGGGAAUCUUCCGCAAUGGACGAAAGUCUGACGGAGCAACGCCGCGUGAGUGAUGAAGGUUUUCGGAUCGUAAAGCUCUGUUGUUAGGGAAGAACAAGUGCCGUUCAAAUAGGGCGGCACCUUGACGGUACCUAACCAGAAAGCCACGGCUAACUACGUGCCAGCAGCCGCGGUAAUACGUAGGUGGCAAGCGUUGUCCGGAAUUAUUGGGCGUAAAGGGCUCGCAGGCGGUUUCUUAAGUCUGAUGUGAAAGCCCCCGGCUCAACCGGGGAGGGUCAUUGGAAACUGGGGAACUUGAGUGCAGAAGAGGAGAGUGGAAUUCCACGUGUAGCGGUGAAAUGCGUAGAGAUGUGGAGGAACACCAGUGGCGAAGGCGACUCUCUGGUC